AACUUCAGCAAAAGCCAAGGCAGCCAACAAAGGCUCAGCCACCUCAGCUGUGCCUCUGCCGCUUGGACGGCUCACCAGCCAGCCUCUGAAGCAGAUCAUGCCAUCCUUUCCUUUUUAAAACCCAUGUCAUCACCAGAUCAUAAUGGAAAUCAAUCUCCUCAAACCAUCAUGCAAAGGCAAAGGCGUAUCCAUAGCAACCCCAAAGGAAGGACUCAGAGAUGCUCCAGUGGCUGCAGCAAAAAAAAGAGGUGAGUUUGUUUCUCCUCUAUCCAUGCAUCUACGUCUCUGCUCACCAGGGGCGGCUCUGCCUGCAGACCUCACCACAGCACCAAGUGGGAGCACUCAAGGUGAGCUAAGACCCCCGCCACACACACACACACACACACACACACACACACACGGGAGUAUGGGAGUAUGGGAUGGGGAUGAGAGCAAGGUCUCGUCUCUUGGUUACUGUCUCAGGUGACUGUCUCACCCUGUGAUAUCUGACAAGCAGCCACCAGUCACUUAGCUUUCUAGACAAGAUGCUGGGAAAUCGCUCUAGCAGUUUGGAAUUCCUCUGUGGCAGCGACAGACACCCCCCCCCCACCACCACCACCAAAUCUCUCCCUUCCCUGAUGCCUUGGGAUAAUGACUCCCAUUUCUGCAGAUACUCAUCAAACAUGAACGCUAAGCCUAUCAAAGCCCAGUAUGCCUCAACUUUCCUUUCAAUAAAGCAGCAAUAUGCUCUGACAGGACUGUUGUGCAAACCACAGAAGGGCUUGGCAGUUCAAAGCUGGCAUGGACCAUAUAGUGAGCUCCAUGCUACAGAGUGACACCUGUCCGUCCCCCCCCCCACACACACACAAACACAGACAGAGUCUGACAGCACUUAAAACUGAACAAAGCACUCAUUAAAAGGAAGCCACUAUCAUUAUGAUGAAGAUGAAGAGGCCUAUAAGCAUUGGACUCCAGCUCAGACAGGCUCCUCCACACUCCUGGGGCUUGUCUAAGGCUCUUUCUCCUUACUCUGAUCAACUGCACCUAGCUUCUCUCACCAUAUCUAAGCACCUGUCCUGAUGGAGCUCACACUGGCCACCUACCCCUCAGCCAACAAUCUUGCAGAGAAAGGCAACUGAAACUCUUAGGUAAGAAUCCCUUUGCACACACCGCUGCCUCUUUCCUCCUGAAUCCAUCCCUCCUCCAUCCCUGUGCACCUCACCUCCUCUUCUGAGGACCUUCAUUUCAGUAGUACCCUCUGCCGGUUCUUACACAUCCCCACAAAACCUGCCCUGGCCCCUUCAAUUCUAGGAACAACUAUUUCUAGUCCUUACCGUGUCCACAGAAUCUAUCCUUCCAUUGUCUGCCAAACUGUGAGUUUGUAGCCCUUAGUGCCAUCAAGCCCUGCAUCUCCACUCUGCUCCACUGGAGUUAGUCCCAUUUUCCGAGUGAAAGCAUGGUAACCAUGGCAUCUUGUUCCCCAACCCCCAGAUGUACUUGUCAAGCUCAUCCAGUGUGUCUAUCCUGAAGCAAAUGAAGAAGGGGGCUCCCUCUCGCCUUCGGAAUGUUCUCCUUCCCCACUUCCUGGGCAGCCUUGCUCACAUGCACAACAAUCCUUCACUCCCUGUCUGCCCCUGCCUUCUGUAAGUGUGGCUGGAAGAAUCCAUCCCCCCUUUACCAACUGCCUUCUUCUACCAACCCUCAGCAGGGACGCUUCUGAAACUCAGACCCACAUUUGUACCGGGCUGCUGGACAUCACAGACCACUAAGGUUCAACAUGCCCCAGCAUGCCACAGUCUACCUAAGUUAGAUAACUGAGUCACUGUUAACAACCCCUUCUUAUUUGGUUAAUUCUGCUGCCACAGCCUCUCUCCGAUUCCUGUUUCCUCUCCAUCCUGUUGGCCUAAUUUCACUUCAGCCUUAAAACACUUGUGUUACGGUAAGUCUCCCUAUUACAUUCAUUUUAAGUCUCCCAAUAUCCUGAGCUCAGACUCUACUCCUUCAGCUUCCUUCCACGGCCAGCUUCCCAAAACACAGUCAUGUUAUCCCUAAUUAAAGACUUCUUGUGCGGGCCAGGGAGGUGGCUCAAUAGGUAAAUGCCACCAAAUCUAACAACUUGAGCUUGAUUCCCAGGAUCAACAUGGUAGAAAGAACCAGCUCAUACAAGCAAUCACACACACACACACACGCACACACAGAGAGAGAGAGAGAGAGAGAGAGAGAGAGAGAAUAUAUAUAAUAAAUUUUUUUUUUAUUAACUUCACUGUGAACAACAAUAACCCCUCCUUUGAUGCAUGCCAAAGCUCUCCCCUUCUGGCUGCUUGGAUCUACUUCAAGCCCUUUGACCUGCAAAUAAAAAAAGAGUGUCACCCGGACCCCACUCUUCAUCCAUCACUACUUAGGUCAAUAGUCAUCUCCUUCCUGAAAUUCCCCAGCUUCUCCCUGGAGAGCCUGUUAUUUCCUUUCUGCCCUUGUAUAGACACCUUGGACAAAGUUUUGUUACAGCACCAAACUUUACUGAAAAUACUGCCUACCAUCUUCUGUCCAACCUCCCCCUAAGAGGAGGAGGACCCCAAAGUGUCUAAGCACUGAGCACAGUGCCUUGCCCAGAGAGGUACAUAAUAGUCAAAAGUUAUUGUGCCAGCCGGGCUCCGGGCAUAAGAUCAGGGCCAGAUCAGAGGAAUGACCCCAACCUCAUAGCCCAUAAAAGCAGAGCUGGAGAGCUGACUUAGUGGUUAAGACAGCACUGUGCAACCACAAAGGCCUAAGUUCAGGCUCGAGUACCCACUAGCAAGCUCAGCACUGUGAGGGGAGAAGACAGUAUUGUCGUUGUUUGCUGGCUGCUUCAAGAGGCCCAUAGUGAGACUCUGUCUCAAACAAACAAACAAACAAACAAAACAAACAAAGAAAUAAGAGUGUUAGAGAAAGCUUCCUUCUUUGACCUCCAGGGAUGUGCACAGGGACAUACACUCAGACACAUAUGUGCAGAUAUCACACCACAUUCACACAUACCAAAAAACAAAAAACAAACAGGCUGGAGAGAUGGCUAGUUAAGAGCAAUGACUGCUCUUCCAGAGGUCCUGAGUUCACAACCAUCUGUAAUGGGAUCUGAUGCCCUCUUCUGGUGUGUCUAAAGAUAGCUACAGUGUACUCACAUACAUUCAAUAAUUCUUUAAAAAACAAAUACCACAGGGUGGGGGGAAGUACACUUGUACAUACAUACCACACACACACACACAGCAGUGCAUGAAGCUCUUUCAGAUAAGCACCUAAACUCAUAUGCUUCUAUGGUAAAGGAACCACAGACCAGACAGGCUCUAAGUAAAAUGCAGAUCUUCUGAGAAGGAAUGUUCUUCAAAAGGCUCUAAGGGCACCAAAGCCCCGCUCUCUGCUGCAGAAAAGCAGAGAAAAGGUGAGGAUGCACAUCUCAACUAAUGCCACUCAACACC
ensembl:antisense Gm15624 predicted gene 15624